CGCAAUGGGCGAAAGCCUGAUGGAGCGACACCGCGUGAAGGAUGAAGCCUUUGUUGGUGUAAACUUCUUUUCUCUGGGAAGAUAAUGACGGUACCAGAGGAAUAAGGGGCGGCAAACUUCGUGCCAGCAGCCGCGGUAAUACGAAGGCCCCAAGCGUUAUCCGGAAUUACUGGGCGUAAAGCGUCUGUAGGUGGUUUGGAAAGUUUCAAGUGAAAGGUCGGGGCUCAACCCUGUACUUGCUUGGAAAACUAUCAAACUAGAGUGUGGGAGAGGCAAGCAGAACGGUAUGAGUAGGGGUGCAAUCCGUUGAUACAUACCAGAAUACCAAAAGCGAAGGCAGCUUGCUGGAACACUACUGACACUGAGAGACGAAAGCGU
rnacentral:rRNA from 1 species